AGUCGUAACAAGGUAUCCGUAGGUGAACCUGCGGAUGGAUCAUUACCAAAGACGUUUAUGUCUCUACGUAUUGUGAACAGUUUAGGGGUUGAGGGUGUCAGAGAGUGGUGUGUGUUGGGUUAGUGUCUUGAUUGAUGCUGUCGCAAGCGCGCGCUCUGGCCCCUUGUUUUUUCAAAAACAACGUACUUUUUUCUUUUGAAACUGAAGUCUGCCUUUGAGAUUAGUGAAAACUAAAAACAACUUUUAGCAACGGAUCUCUUGGCUCUC
rnacentral:misc_RNA from 1 species